rnacentral:rRNA from 1 species
GGCUCAGGAUGAACGCUAGCUACAGGCUUAACACAUGCAAGUCGCGGGGCAGCAUGAAUUUAGCUUGCUAAAUUUGAUGGCGACCGGCGCACGGGUGAGUAACGCGUAUCCAACCUGCCCACCACUUGGGGAUAACCUUGCGAAAGUAAGACUAAUACCCAAUGAUAUCUCUAGAAGGCAUCUGAAAGAGAUUAAAGAUUUAUCGGUAUGGGAUGGGGAUGCGUCUGAUUAGCUUGUUGGCGGGGUAACGGCCCACCAAGGCGACGAUCAGUAGGGGUUCUGAGAGGAAGGUCCCCCACAUUGGAACUGAGACACGGUCCAAACUCCUACGGGAGGCAGCAGUGAGGAAUAUUGGUCAAUGGACGGAAGUCUGAACCAGCCAAGUAGCGUGCAGGAUGACGGCCCUAUGGGUUGUAAACUGCUUUUAUGUGGGAAUAAAGUCAGGGACGUGUCCCUGUUUGCAUGUACCACAGGAAUAAGGACCGGCUAAUUCCGUG